rnacentral:rRNA from 1 species
GGUUGAUUCUGCCUGACGUGGAAGCUAUUCUUUAAGAUUAAGCCAUGCAUGUGUAGAAUGAAGUGAAGCCGUUAGGUGGAACAGCGAAAAGCUCAGUAAUACAAUCAUUAUUUGGUCUACAAGAUAUAGAAUAACCUUGAUAAAUUAAGGCUAAAGCUAUUGUAGAAUAAGAGAUUGACCUAUCAGCUAGUAUGUAGGGUAAGGGCCUACGUAGGCGAUGACGGGUAACGGGGAAUUAGGGUUCUAUUCCGGAGAAGGAGGCUGAGAGAUGGCUACUAGGUCUAAGGAGAGCAGCAGGCGCGAAACUUACCCAAUGCUAUUUAGUAGUGUAGAGUGUAGUGAAUAUUCUAAUGGAGAGGCUAGUAAAGCAACCAUUGUAAUUCCAGCAAAUCUAUUACGAGUAUUGCUGCAAUUAAAAAGUUCGUAGUUGAUUAUUGUAAUAAUCUUGUGAUAAGUAUUAAAUUAUGAUUAGUGAAAGCCAUGGAAGGAAAUAGGAUUAAAUAGGGAGGGGUGAAAUCUGUAGAUCUAUUUAGGACUAACUGAAGCGAAAGCGAUUUUCUAUGUGGUAUUUGACAAUCAAGAACGAAAGCCGGAGUAUCGAAGACGAUUAGAGACCGUCGUAGUUCCGCGCAGUAAACCAUGUUAUAUUAUUUGUAGUAUAUAUGAGUAUAUAUUAUGGAUAUAUAGAAAUUAAGAUAUUAUGAACUUUGGGGAUAGUACGAACGCAAGUUUUAAACUUAAAUGAAAUUGACGGAAGGACACACCAGGAGUGGAGUGUGCGGUUUAAUUUGACUCAACGCGGGACAACUUACCAUUUUUAGAAGUGAAUAUGAAUGAUAUUUAUCAUGAUUUUACUAUGAGUGGUGCAUGGCCGUUAACAAUACGUGAUGUGAAUUUUGAAUUUGAAUGAGUUAUAUAUGAAAGUAUAUAAUUCUGUAUUAGUGUUAAAUCCACCAAUGUGUGAGACCCAUAUACUAAUUUUGAGUUAGUAGACAGAUGAUGUAAAUCAUAGGAAGGGAUGGGCGAUAACAGGUCAGUGAUGCCCUUAAAUGAAAUGGGCGACACGCGCACUACAAUAGAAUGAUAUAUUAUUCUAAGGAGUUGGGAUUAUUAAUAUGUAAAUUUAAUAUGAACAAGGAAUUCCUAGUAAUAUUUUUUUUGUGAUGUUAACAACGAGAUAUGAAUAUGUCCCUGUCCUUUGUACACACCGCCCGUCGUUAUCUCAGAUGGAUAUUAGGGUGAAAUAUUGAUAUAAUAGAGAACUCUAAUAACUAAAUAAGGUACCAGUCGUAACCAGGUUGACCUAAGUGAACUUGGGGCAGGAUCA